UACUCCAAAUACAUUAUUUUGCAGGUCCUUGAAUGUAUUGCUGACAACCCUAUAUGGGUACUUGUGACCCGUAUGCAGACGCAUACUCAAGCAGAAAGAAAAAUCAUGGAGGCAAAGAAGGAAGCUCUAUAGAAGGAAACUAGUGAAAGAAUUUUGAUAGGUUCUCCUACUUUUCAAGACGGACUCGCUAAACUUAAUGCAAUGAAACCUCUUCCUUAUGGGACACUGCAUGCGGCACAUGAAGUUUAUAC